CUAAAAAAUGGAAAAUCUCUGACUGGCUAUAGGCUUAUCAUGAGCAACAGAGUCUGGAAGAUAUAUUGAGUCAAUCCAGAAUUCUGUAAUAAACUAAGCUUUUAUUAAAAAAAAAAAAAAAGACUAAACGUUUAUGUCAACUGGUUGGCAAGUUGCAUUUCCCGUUAGAAAAACCAUCUGAAAGCAUGGUCAAUGAUUUGUUUGGUAUAUAGAGCCCAAAUUUAAGAGAAUGGAUGGCUUGUAAGGGGAUAUUCUGUGAGCAUAAGACAAAAAUCUAGUGACUUUGCUUCUAGAACUCAUCUUUCUAGUAAUUUGGAUGAAUCAAAAUGCUGCAAACCAGCCGUUCUUACCUCCAUAGACAAUGAAGAUCAGAUCCUAACAUGGCUGCUUUCAUGCCUAAUGACUUUCUCUUUGAGCCUCUGACCUUUUGAUAUUGAAAUUAUGUUUCUAUGAGCAUUAAUCUAUUGACAUAUCUACAGAAAUUGGGGAUUUAGACAUAACAAUUCUGCUUUGGAUAUCAGACUAUCCAUAUGAGGUAGAUAAUCCUGCCAUGCCUGAAAGGUAGAAGGUCCUCAGGAAAUAUGAAAAAUUGAAUGAUAAAUAAAUUUACUAAUGAUUCAAAAUUAACUAAAAACCUUUGAAAAACUUUAUGAAAAAUGGAUUCAAAGUGGCUAUUCUUUGUUUCUAAUUCUUUUGAGGAGAAAGUAGUUUUAUAGAACUAGUAAUGAAUAACAGUUUAUAAAUCAGUUAUUGAAAUGCUUCACAUGCAAGGGAACCACUUAUUAAGGUGGGGGAAUAUCACAUUGUUCACUUAGAAUCUAAUUUGCAAGACUUUCUGUCCAGUAGUAACAUGGCAGGAAUAAAAAAUCUGCCAAGUCAAAUUGAGCACUUAACUCAAAGUUCUCUUUCUUCCAGUUAUAAAGGGAAAAGAAGCUCUUGGAAAGAAGAAAAAUAAAGAAGAUUAUGAAGGAUGCUUUGCUUCAUCCAGGCCACCAGGAAACUUUCGGGUGUUCAGGCAUGAAGCGAGCUGAAGUCAAAGAGAUGUAUGGUCUGGGAAGAGAAAGGCAACUUAGUGUGUAGGGUCAGAAGGAAGUUUCCAGUCUGGCCCUGUGUGGUGGUGCAAUGAUGACAGAACCAAUUUCCACAGCCAGCCAAAACUGUUCCCCCUUGCUUUAGGGGUGGGGUCAACUCAGAAUGUGCACAAUCGAUCCUGUGUAAUAGGGAAAACCUGUGUCAUGGAAAAACAUAAUCCUUCUGAGUAUCACAGAAGAAAAAAAAUCUGUAGUUUUUGUUAACAGCCAGGUAGUAAUAUUAUUUAACUGAAUCAUACUCAUGGAUAUUCCACUGAGCGACAUUGGAAAUAUGUGAAGGACGUUUAAUUUCAGAACUUGUGCAUGCUGAGGUCUCCUGCCACCAUAGAGCUCAAAACAGCAAGAGAAAGAAAAUAAAAAUAAAUCAUUUCACCAUGUUUCUUUAUACCCCCAUGAAACCAUAGUAUGAGACUUGUAUGGAAUGAGCAGUGAAGAAAUUACGGAUUUGAAAAGGGAAUUGGUACCUUCUGAACUGAUCUGUACCAAUCACUUCUUGAAAGAAGUCGUUUUCCGUCUGUUUUCUGAUUGUACCUCUACAGUUCUUCCAUCAAUGCAAAGACUUUCCAUUUGUCCUUUCCUUUCCACCCUAUGUACAUCAUUCGACCAGUCAGAAGAGAUGUGCAUUUAAAGCAUUUGUUUGUAAAUCAAAAUGUUUUAAUUCUUUUUUAAACUGGUGGGUGCCAGGGGGGAGGUUGGUGGCGGCAUCGGUGAAAUAGAGAAAGGGGAUUGAGAGGUACAAGCUUCCAGUUAUAAACUAAAUAAGUCACGAAGAUGAAAAGUGCAGCAUAGGGAAUAUAGUUAAUAAUAUUGUAAUAACGUUGUGUGGUGACAGAUGGUGACUGCACAUGCGGAGAGCAGUGAGUAAUGUAUAACAUUGUCGAAUGCUAUAAUGUAUAGCACUGUUGAAUCACCAUGUUGUAUACCUGAAACUAAUAUAACAUUGUAUGUGAAUUAUACUUCAAUGAAAAAUAUGUUUUAAUCACACUGAGAGAGUCUUUAUUACACUAUUAGGAAUAAUUUCACAGAUAAAACAUUUUUUAGAGAGUGAAUAAUUAAACUGUAGUACAUCUUUUACACAAAUAGGAAUUCAUGUACUAAAUGUGCAUAGUACAAAAGCCUCCACACAAAGUAGUAGAUUGUGGCACCCUUUACAUAUGGGGUAGGUAUUCUCAAUUUGGUCAGUUAGCUCAUGCUUGCCAAAAAGAUGGCCCAGAGAUCCUCAAAGAUUCCAAAGCUCUGAGACCCUUCACUAGACCUCAAAUGAUGCUCUCCCACGCCUUUGCUCACAUCCUGAUUUUCACCCCAAACAUGCUAUCCACCUGGCCUUAAGUCUACUCACACCCAAAAACAAAGGUGGCAAUAUAUAAGGAAUAAUAGCUUUGUUACUGAGUCUCGAGGAAGAUAUUUUCUCCCAAAGAAUAAGGGAAGAAAUUUCAAAGGGUAGGAAGGCAAGAUGGAAGAAGAAGAGGGCAACCUAGCUUAACUCAAUAAUGCUGAACCGUUAGUCUGUGAUUCGAUGUUAAUUUCAUGAGUGGGUACCUGUGUGUAAUAUUAAUUUGGAUUUCUUUUCUUGCAUUUACCCCCUUUAACAAAGAAAAAAAUGUACAUUCUCCAGGAGUCACUGACUGAUUGGGGAGUGAGAAAAGAAAAGGAUCAAGGAGGAUGUGGUGUUCCUGACUUGGACCACCAGGAGAUACUGCUAGUCUUCACUGAGACUCUGAGAUCUUUUGAAAGAAAGAUACUUGCACUGUUUUGCCCACCAUAGAUUUUAUAAAAUGGUGACAUAGAUUAUUCCUGACUAUUCUUCAUCACAAGAAGAACAACUAACAACUAUUCAAGAAUAAGACACCACUGAGAGAAUCCUAGAACAUGGUGAUGAGGUUGAAGCACCCUCUGCACCACAGAGAUGAAGACAGACUGUAUUAGAAACAUAAGAGAAGUGUCUACACACUGAUUGCAUUGCCUCUACCCUAGGCCAGUGUAGUACCACACGGCGAGAUCUCCCCUGGACCUCUAGUUCCUCCAGUAGGAAAAGAGAACCCAGUGGGGACAACCAGCCUCACUCCAGCAUUGUGGGUCAUUUUGCAAGAGCCCUACACUGAUCUCACACCACAGGGAUUUGCAGGGCUCAACAACUAAGAAUCUGACUGUGGUGAAGAAGGGGAGAAGGACUUGUAGCAACUACUAUAUGGGUCUUGGCAGACUGAGUUCACACCUGCAGUCCCUGAGUGGUAAUCCCAAUCAGUGCUUUUGCCCAUCUGCAGAACCAAGUCAGGGGGCACUCCCACCUGGAACUGGUAGGGUACAUACAGAUCUGCCUGAUUGGGAUCCUCGAAUUGGUGCAACCACCUUGGAAAACCACAUAAAGCUCAGUUUUGUCCCUGGUGUCCCCACAAGCUGGCAAGGAGCUGAAUCAUAGUCCCACCCACUGUGGAGAGUGUCUUCCAGCCCCAUAUGAAUAGAAGGACCAAUGAAAACUCCUGGUAACUGUGUGGCACAGCUCUGCUCAAGCUGAGAGGUGAUGGGUAAAGCCAAUUGCGUCCAGAGCAAAGCCAGUGCCAGGAGUGGAGUGUUCUGUGGUGUGCACAGGCAGGGGGAAUAAUUCAUAUCCAAGGGUAAAGGUAGUUCCUGGCCCCUCCCAACUAGAGAAACAGCCCGGGAAAUGGAGAGUAACCCGGAGUGUUCUCUCCUCCUCUUGCCCAGGCAGGAGAGCUGAGACGUAGCUCCAACCACUGUGGAGAGUGUCUUCCAGCCCCACUCCAUCAGAAAGGUUGGAGACAUCUCCUGGAAGCAGUGUAGCCCAGCAGCACUGGAACCAAGAGGUGGGUAGGCAAAGCUAAUACAUUGCAGAGCAAAGCCAGGACCCUCUUCAGUCAGAGCACUUGGAAUGUGGGUUGGCUUGAGUUAAGAAAACAACAAUGAACUUUACCAGCUUUAGAGUUACUUCGCUUGCUGUGCUGGACAGAAAAUCCAAUUCAUAUCCCCGUUCAUCACUGAACAUAACCUUCAGCCUGUCCAAUCAAGGAAUCUAACCAUAGCACAUGAGAAGCUGUAUCACCCAUGCAGUGGCAAUGGGACAGAGAGCACAGCCCAUGGUUUCCCCAUCUGCAGAGCAAAACCAGCAGCCUCAUCUGACUAGGGAAUUAAGGGCACACACUGGUCUGUUUAUGCCCCUAAACAAUGAGCUGUGCAGGUCCUGAACUCUGACUAGUUGCUCUCCUAGGGCAAGAAAGCCAAUUUAUAGCCCCAUCUAUAACUGAAUAUAAUGCCCAACCAUCUAAGCUUGACCAGAGAAUCCAGGCAACCAUUGAGUCCAUUCUACAGACUCCCGUGGGCAGGGAAUCUAGCCAGCAGUCCUAUCUAACUGUUAUCAGCCAGUGGCACAUCCCCCAUCCCCAUCCUCAGAGCUCAAAUAUUUGCCUCACCCCCAUACAGGCCAAAAUAGCAGCUCCCACAAGCCCAAGGACAUUACCAGCAGAAACACCCAGAAACCUAAACUGUGCUGCCUGAGGAAGAUUUCUCUGCAAAACGAACCUGUAAAGUCUGGAAGAGGGGCCCAGUUACCCAAAUACACUGGUACCAACAUACAGAAUCAAGGAUCACAAAAAAAUCAGGUAAAUAUGACAACCCCGGGGAAGACUUAUAAGCUUCUAUAAGUUACCCUAAAGAAAUGGAGAUCUACGAACUGUCACACACAGAAUUCAGGAUAACCCUUUUAAGGAAUUUUAGUGAACUACCAGAAGACACAGAAAACUAAACAAAAUUAAGAAAUAAUGCAUGAAAAAAAUGAGAAGUUUGACAAAGAAAUAACAACCAUCAAAAACAAACAAACAAAAUCACAGAAAUCCUGGAGUUGAAUAAUUCAACAACUGAACUAAAGAAUACAAUAGAGAAUUUCAAAAGUAGAAUCAGCUACUUGGAGUACAGGACAUUGGAAAUUAUCCAGAGGAGCAAAAAGAAAAAGAAAUUUUUAAAAACUGAGGAGAACUUAUAGGAAUUUUAGGAGAAAAUGAAAAAAAAAACAAUAUUUGCACUGUGGGAAUU